UACGUAGGUGGCGAGCGUUGUCCGGAAUUACUGGGUGUAAAGGGAGCGCAGGCGGGGGUGCAAGUUGGAUGUGAAAUACCCAGGCUCAACCUGGGGGCUGCAUCCAAAACUGUAUCUCUUGAGUGAAGUAGAGGUAGGCGGAAUUCCUAGUGUAGCGGUGAAAUGCGUAGAUAUUAGGAGGAACACCAGUGGCGAAGGCGGCCUACUGGGCUUUAACUGACGCUGAGGCUCGAAAGCGUGGGGAGCAAACAGG
rnacentral:rRNA from 1 species